GACGUAGGGCGCGAGCGUUGUCCGGAUUUAUUGGGCGUAAAGAGCUCGUAGGCGGCUUGUUGCGUCGACUGUGAAAACCCGCGGCUUAACUGCGGGCUUGCAGUUGAUACGGGCAGGCUAGAGUUCGGUAGGGGAGACUGGAAUUCCUGGUGUAGCGGUGAAAUGCGCAGAUAUCAGGAGGAACACCGGUGGCGAAGGCGGCUAUCUGGACAGAGUCUGACGCUGAUGACGCGAAAGGCGUGGGGAGCGAACAGG
rnacentral:rRNA from 1 species